AUUACCCAGUCCCCCCCAUGUGCUUCCCCAUUCCUCCCAAUUUGCUCCCAGUGCUCCCUCGCCAGUUCGCCCAUUGCUCCCAGUUCCUCUCAUUGCUCCCAGUUCCCACCAUUGCUCCCAGUUCCCCCCAUUGCUCCCAGUUCCCUCCCAGUGCUCCCAGUUCCCCCCAUUGCUCCCAGUUCCCCCCCAUUGCUCUCAUUCCUCCCAUUGCUGCCCAGUUCCGCCCCAUUGCUCCAGUUUACCCUUACCUUGCUCCCAGUUCCCUCCAUUGCUCCCAGUUCCAUCCAUUGCCUCCCAGUUCCCCAUUCUCCCGUUUCCCUCCCAUUGCUCCCAUUCCCUCAU
rnacentral:lncRNA from 1 species